rnacentral:rRNA from 1 species
UACGGAGGAUGCGAGCGUUAUCCGGAUCUAUUGGGUUUAAAGGGUGCGUAGGCGGGCUUUUAAGUCAGCGGUAAAAAUUCGGGGCUCAACCCCGUCCGGCCGUUGAAACUGGGGGCCUUGAGUGGGCGAGAAGAAGGCGGAAUGCGUGGUGUAGCGGUGAAAUGCAUAGAUAUCACGCAGAACCCCGGUUGCGAAGGCAGCCUUCCGGCGCCCUACUGACGCUGAGGCACGAAAGUGCGGGGAUCGAACAGG